rnacentral:rRNA from 1 species
UGGGGAAUUUUGCGCAAUGGGGGAAACCCUGACGCAGCGAUGCCGCGUGGAGGACGAAGGUCUUCGGAUUGUAAACUCCUUUUGCAGGGGGCAAAUGACCCGGUGAAUAACCGGGAGUGAUGGUACUCUGCGAAUAAGCCACGGCUAACUUCGUGCCAGCAGCCGCGGUAAGACGAAGGUGGCGAGCGUUACUCGGAAUUACUAGGCGUAAAGCGUGGGCAGGCGGUCCGGCAAGUCUGUUGUGAAAUCUCCCGGCUCAACCGGGAGGGGCCAAUGGAUACUGCUGGGCUUGAAUGUGGGAGGGGUGACUGGAAUUCCUGGUGUAGCGGUGAAAUGCGUAGAGAUCAGGAGGAACACCAAUGGCGAAAGCAGGUCACUGGACCACUAUUGACGCUCAUCCACGAAAGCUGGGGGAUCAAACAGG